UACGGAGGGGGCGAGCGUUGUUCGGAAUCACUGGGUGUAAAGGGUGCGUAGGCGGUCAAUCAAGUCUGAUGUGAAAGCCCUCGGCUCAACUGAGGAAUGGCAUUGGAAACUGGUUGGCUAGAGUACCGGAGAGGGAAGCGGAAUUCCUGGUGUAGCGGUGAAAUGCGUAGAUACCAGGAGGAACACCGGUGGCGAAGGCGGGAUCCUGGGCCAGUACUGACGCUGAGGAGCGAAAGCGUGGGGAGCAAACAGG
rnacentral:rRNA from 1 species